UGUAGAUAUAAUUAUUAUUUAUUUUUAUUUAUUUCAUAUAUAUAAUGUAAUGUACCAUAAUGUGGAGCAUAAUCUAAAUAUAAUGUUUUUUGUAUAACAUUGUUCUUUCAACAGAUUCAUGUUGAAAGAUUUGAAUUGUUGGAUAGAGUCAAGAAGGUCAAGACCUCAAAGGAAAGACCAAAAGCUAAAAUAAAUAUUUAAUUCAUUGAAAGGUUCUUUUUCAUGCUGUUAACCUUACGUUAGCUCAUAGUUUAUCUAACACGAGAUUUAUGCAUCGGGACACCAAACUGUAGCAUGUGAACAUAGAGUGUCAUGUGUGUUUUGUGAGGUUAGAGACACAUUAAAAAUGGAUAUAUGUGAGUGGUUUCAGGCUUUGUUUGAAGGCACUAAUAGAGCAAGCCUGGAAGGCAGCACGUGUGCGCUUUCGCCUCAUCACAAUGAAACAGACCUAACUUCUGUGCGUAGAAAACUAGAGCGUGACUGCCACAUUUGAAUAUGAAAUAGCCAAAGAUUUCUGUUUCAGACACCUUGUACAUUGUGCAAACAAAGCCACCAAUUCCGGGGAAGAAAGACAAGUGAAUUUAAAGCAGGCCUUUGUCGUUGUUUAUAACUGUGUUGUCUUUGUUCCCAUUUUUCCUCUGCAGGCAAAAGAAUGGGCUGAAAUAUUUUUAAACAGUAAUUACCUGGCCGGGAUCCGACAGAGGGGGAUUAAUGGAGGAACGCGGAGCAUCAGGUUCCAGAGAUGUGUGCUGGAAGCACAAGUCAUCAGCUCACGCCAAGCCCUUCACAAACUAACAGGAGCUAUUUAGUCUUUUAAAUCAAGUCUGGGAGAUGUUUCAGGAUUUGCCUUUUUCUUCGUUUAACCCUUUGUUUUUUUUUUGUUUUUGUCGUGGUUAAAGUAACUGUAUUUGGUGCUAGUUAACUCUCAUAGUACAUUUUUAUAAACCAGACAUCUGGACUUUAUUUUUCUUGGAGUGAUGAUCUACAGUACAUUGACUUUCACUAGUUAGUUGCAAAAGGCAAGCAGCUACUUAUGAGGUCUUGCUCAGGUUGACUGAAUAUUAUGGAAGACCAUUUCCAACACUGAAUAAAAAAAUUAUGAUUGAAACUUUUUAUCUCAUAAUUGUGACUUUUUUCUCAUAACUGCCAGUUUACAUCUUGCAAUUCUGACUUUUUUCUCAGACGUGUGAGAUAUACUGUAAACUCACAGUUAUGAGUUAUAAAGUCCAAUUCUGAGGGGGGAAAAGGCAAUUCUUACAAUUGCGAGUUUACAUCAUACAACUGUGCUAUAAACUAUAUAAUAUAAACUUGCAAUUCUGAGAAAAAAGACAAUUGCAAGAUAUAAACUCACAAUUCUAUGAAGAAAAGUCACUUUGUAACUCACAAUUGCAAGUUUCUAUCAUUCUGCCAAUUCUGAGAGAGAAGUCAGAAUUGUGAGGAAAAGUCAGAAUUGCAAGAAAAAAAGUCAGAAUUGUGAGAGAAAUGUUGCAAUUGCCUUUUUUAAAUUCAUACAUCAUUUUAUUUUAACCUAUAAACAACAUUUUGGUCCUUCCUCAGGCAUGCAUUAGAUUUUUACCCAAUGCAACUUUGACUCGAAUGUCCUGUAAGUUUAUGGACUUCAUCACAUCUUUGAAAAUUAAUUUAGACUUAAGGUGGAUUCAGAUCUUAUUUUGGUCCAUUUUAUUUGUGAUUGGAUUAACUCUCCAUUCUCAAUAUGUAUAUGAGUUUAGUUUACUUUCGAAAAUAUAGUGCACAAGUACCUAAAUCAUAUGUAGAUACAUUGGAUAAAAGUCAGGUGUAAGCCUGAAGUUGAUUGAAAUGCUUUAAAAAUAUGCAUAUUUAAGUAGAGUGCAGGAUUAUACAUUUUCAUGAGUUUAGUUUAAAAGGGUCUGACUUCAUUUAAAGCAUUCACAUUAGUAAACAUUUUUGUUUUCACCCGCACAAAUAUACAUAAAAACAAGACCUCAAAAGUAGCUUUUUUGUAACCUUUUGGAACUAACUUGUAAAAGUCAAAAUAGAUCACUGAUCAUGAGAAAGUUGAACAGGAACCAAAGGUAACAAUAAGUAAUGGGAAGUGAAGUGAAAUGUAUUAUUUCUACAACACCAAAUGGGAUUUUAUGAUUGUUUGCUGACAGGUUUCCUCCUCCAACCACUGCUCACCUUACACUGUUCAGAAGAAAACAGACACGAGUCUAUACAGUAAAAAAAAACAGUAACACUCUUAUAAAUAAAGGUGCUUCAAAAGGUUCUUCACAGCGAUGCCAUAGAAGAACCAUUUUUGGUUCCACAAAGAACCAUUCAAUCAAAGGUUCUUUAAAGUACCAUCUCUUUCUUGCUUUUUAUAAUCUGAAGAAGCUUCUUUCACCAUAAAGAACCUUUUGUGCAAUAGAAAAGUUUUUUAGAUGUUAAAGCUUCUUUAUGGAACCAUUUAAACAACAACAAAAAAAAAAUGGCAUGGUGAAGCACUUUUAUUUUUUAAGAGUGUACUUGAUAAUGGUAGUAUUUGUAUGGUCAAAAUCAGCAAAACCUCAUAAGAAUCGUUUUACAGUCUUUUGCAACUAACUUGUAAAAGUCAAUGUAUUAUCACUCCAAGAAAAAGUAAAGUCCUUUAAAUUGCAUAUCAGUCACACAGUAUAGUGAUUUGGUUGGUGGCACGUAUGCUUUACGAUAUUGAUUGCAGCAAAACUGUUUUGUGUUUGAGUACAAAAAGCAUAUUGAUCACUGGCACUGUAGGCUUUUUGUGCAGAAAUUACAGAGAAACCCAACAAAAAGUGCCAUGAUUUCAUCGUCACGUUCAUCUCUCAUUGCCUUUGUGUAAAACUUUUUCAACGCUUCAAGCUCCAGUCUAUCGGCUAGCUUUUAUUUGCGAGAUGAACUCAAAUUGAGACUUGAAUCGCAGCAAGGCACAUCAAAACAUGCUUUUCACUAAUACAGAGGUCUGUAGUUAAUUGAGAGCGCUUCAUAAAUGUGUCUGAUUUAUAAUAGGACAUAAAGUGAUUCCUUCCAUAAACCACCAGUGCAAUCUACAGUCUAAUUACAACAGCACCAUAAAUCACGAAUAAAUCUGAGGAAAACACAAUAUAAACAGGCAAAACUUUGCUGGAAAGUAAACAGUGUUAAAACUAUGAAAAGCAGCGGAACGGAGUCAUAAAUGCACAUUUAAAGGCUGAUAUUAUGAAGAUCAUAGAAAAUUACAGCGGUCUAUAGAUAGUAAGCAAUCCAUUAUUGGUCUAUAAUGGGCAAGAAGCUGUGUUAUGAUCUCUAAAGUUUAUCAGUCUAGUGGCCUUCGCUUGCUGAAGAUGUCAUGUGACUCAAUAUCAGUGAGAAAGUUGAACAGGAAUCAUAAGAUGACAAAUGAGUAAAUUUAA
ensembl:lncRNA